AACGCGAAGAACCUUACCCAGGCUUGACAUGGUUAAGACAGCGCAUGAAAGUGCGUCUCUCCGCAAGGAGCUUUUCCACAGGUGCUGCAUGGCUGUCGUCAGCUCGUGCUGUGAAGUGUUGGGUUAAGUCCCGCAACGAGCGCAACCUUUGUCUUUAGUUGCCAUCAGGUAAUGCUGGGCACUCUAGAGAGACUGCCGGUGAUAAACUGGAGGAAGGAGGAGACGACGUCAAGUCAGUAUGGCCCUUAUGCCUGGGGCUACACACGUGCUACAAUGGCCGUUACAAAGGGCUGCAAACUCGCAAGAGCCAGCAAAUCCCAAAAAGACGGCCUCAGUUCAGAUUGGGGGCUGCAACUCGCCCCCAUGAAGUCGGAAUCGCUAGUAACGGUAGAUCAGCUACGCUACCGUGAAUACGUUCCCGGGCCUUGUACACACCGGUAUCUCUCUC
rnacentral:rRNA from 1 species